ACAUGCCUACAACAUAACGUUAAUGCAUCGGAUCCCAUUAGAACUUUGCAGUUAAGCGCGCUCGAGCUAGAGUAGUACGAAGAUGGGUGACCACUCAAGAAGUCUUAAUGUUUUACAUGCC
rfam:Picea glauca, whole genome shotgun sequence.